rnacentral:lncRNA from 1 species
UUCAAACAUCAAUUAUUAUUAUUAUUAUUAUUAUUAUUAUUAUUAUUAUUAUUAUUAUUAUUAUUUUCUUAAAAAUCCUAAAUGUCACCAACUCAGUAACACAGAGUUACUCAUCAGUCAUCUUCAAAUUUCUUAACACAAUUCCCAAACCCAUAUUCAGUAACACAGGGUUCUUCAUUUCCAAAUUUCGUAACACAGAUCCGAAGAGCAUGAAGAACUCCAUCAGCACAAGAAUAAAAUUGCCGACGCAAACAACCACUCCACGACGGCGGCGUUGCUGAUUUCCCUUCCCUCUCCAUCGCCGCCUCCACAAAGUUGCAGAAAAAAAAGGCCCAACCUAUAUAUCCCUGGGAUCUGGAAUUUGACUAGAGAUGGAGAAGAUGAGUAGUGGUAGUUUUUAAUAUAAAUAAAUACAUUUAAUUUGGAUUUGUGGUGAAAAAGAUAUUGAAUUAGAUUUGGAUUUCGGCUACUUCCGGCUACAGAUCUGGGUUGUUGGAGUUUUAGAACUUGGUUGCUUUGAUUUUGAUUAGUUUCAGAUUUUUGAUUUCGAAUUAUUUUGGAUUUGAAUUUGUGGUCUAGAUGUUUGGGUUCUUCGAUUAAAGGUUUCUUGUUAAACGGAUCGUAAGGUGAAGGGAGCUUGGAUUUGUUGAUUCCUUUUGUUGUUGAAAAUGUUGUUCUUGGGUUUUCUUAUUUGAAAUCUGAGUUUUCAGAGUCUGAUGAAGAUUGGGAAGAGUUGAUUUUGGUGGAGAAAGGGUUUAUGGGGGUUUUAGUGAAAUGAUUGUUUUGGUUAAUGGGUUUGUUGAUAGUUGUUGUAUGGGUGUUGGAGGAGAUGUGAGAGGGAGAGGUGGAGAAGAGGUGUUUGAGGAGAGAGAAAGAGGAAGGGAGUUUGGAGAAUAUGGAGGGAGGAGCGAGACCCAUAGAUCACAU